rnacentral:rRNA from 1 species
GUGGGUAGUUUGACUGGGGCGGUCUCCUCCUAAAGAGUAACGGAGGAGCACGAAGGUUGGCUAAUCCUGGUCGGACAUCAGGAGGUUAGUGCAAUGGCAUAAGCCAGCUUGACUGCGAGCGUGACGGCGCGAGCAGGUGCGAAAGCAGGUCAUAGUGAUCCGGUGGUUCUGAAUGGAAGGGCCAUCGCUCAACGGAUAAAAGGUACUCCGGGGAUAACAGGCUGAUACCGCCCAAGAGUUCAUAUCGACGGCGGUGUUUGGCACCUCGAUGUCGGCUCAUCACAUCCUGGGGCUGAAGUAGGUCCCAAGGGUAUGGCUGUUCGCCAUUUAAAGUGGUACGCGAGCUGGGUUUAGAACGUCGUGAGACAGUUCGGUCCCUAUCUGCCGUGGGCGCUGGAGAACUGAGGGGGGCUGCUCCUAGUACGAGAGGACCGGAGUGGACGCAUCACUGGUGUUCGGGUUGUCAUGCCAAUGGCACUGCCCGGUAGCUAAAUGCGGAAGAGAUAAGUGCUGAAAGCAUCUAAGCACGAAACUUGCCCCGAGAUGAGUUCUCCCUGACUCCUUGAGAGUCCUGAAGGAACGUUGAAGACGACGACGUUGAUAGGCCGGGUGUGUAAGCGCAGCGAUGCGUUGAGCUAACCGGUACUAAUGAACCGUGAGGCUUAACCUUA